rnacentral:rRNA from 1 species
AUGGAAUUUGAGAAUGAAGAUAUAGCAUAUGAGUUUUAUAAUGCAUAUGCAGGACAUGUAGGUUUCAGUGUUAGGAAAUUUUGGCAUGAUAAAUCCUCAACGAAUGUUAUUCGAACAAAGAAAUUUGUAUGCUCAAAGGCAGGUUUCAAGGACAAGAGCAAGGAACAAUGCCAGCGGAAGCGAGCAGAUACAAGAGUUGGCUGUCUGGCAGAGAUGGCCAUCAAAAUAAGUGCUAACGGAAAAUAUGUUGUAAGCAGCUUGGAGGAUGCCCAUAAUCAUGAACUCGUAACUCCAAGCAAAUCCCAUCUACUGCGAUCCCAAAGAAGAAUUACAGAAGCUCAAAAGGCCCAGAUUGACAUAUUGAAUGAUUCGGGUAUUAGACCAAAAUCUGGUCAUGAAGUGAUGAGUAGGCAAGCAGGGGGCCGACAAAGUCUUUGCUUCGGUCACAAAGAUUAUAAAAAUUAUCUCCGAUCAAAGCGUAUGCAAUCAAUCCAAGAAGGAGACACAGGUGCCAUUCUUCAAUACCUACAGGACAAGCAAAUGGAAAAUCCUUCCUUUUUUUAUGCAAUACAAGUAGAUGAAGAGGAUAUGAUGACCAAUAUAUUCUGGGCAGAUGCAAGAUCAAUAUUAGAUUAUCACUACUUUGGUGAUGUGGUAUGCUUUGACACAACCUUUAAGACAAAUAGUUAUGGAAGACCAUUUGCCCCUUUUGUUGGUGUCAACCAUCAUAAACAAACAGUGGUUUUUGGAGCUGCAUUAUUGUACGAUGAAACAGCUGAUACAUUUGAAUGGUUAUUUGAAACAUUCAAAAGGGCUAUGUCAGGGAAAGAAUCAAAAACAAUAUUGACCGACCAAUGUCCUGCCAUUAUUAGUGCCAUUGACAAGGUUUUUACCAAUUCAAUACAUCGUCUAUGUGUGUGGCACAUGUAUCAGAAUGCUGCAAAACAUUUGAGUCAUGUUUUCCAAGGUUCAAAGACAUUUAAGAAAGAUUUUGGCAAGUGUGUUCAUGAUUUUGAAGAAGUUGAUGAUUUCUUAGCAGGUUGGAAUGAUAUGCUAGUGAAAUAUAAUUUGGAAGACAAUGACUGGCUACAUAGAUUAUUUCAGAACAAGGAGAAGUGGGCUUUGGUUUAUGGUCGGCAGACCUUUUGUGCGGAUAUGAAAUCUACGCAAAGAAGCGAGAGUAUGAAUGCACUAUUGAAGCGAUACUUGCAUGUUCGCCUUGAUUUAUUAGAUUUCUUCAAGCACUAUGAGAGGGCCGUGGAUGAUAGAAGGUAUGCUGAAGUGGAAAGUGAUUUCUAUGCGAGUCAAACAUCACCAGAAGUGCCACAUAUGCAGAUGUUGAUUCAAACUUCCAAAGUAUAUACACCUGCUAUGUUCGAGAUAUUUAAAGAAGAAUUUGACAUGGUAAUGGGAUAUUGUGUGUAUGAAAGUGGCCGUACUGCCUCUAUUUCUGAAUUCAAGGUUACCCAUUCAGCUAGCCAAAAUAGUCAUACAGUGAAAUUUGAUCACGACGGAUCAAAAGUUUCCUGCUCAUGCAAAAAGUUUGAAUUUGUUGGGGUCUUGUGUCGUCAUGCAUUGAAGGUGUUGGACCACAACAAUAUUAAGGAGUUGGCACCGGAAUAUAUCUUGAAAAGAUGGACAAGGCAAGCAAAAUCAGGGCCAUCAUAUGCAAUUCAAAAGUGCGCUGAUGAUGAAGAUGCUAGAGUUGUGCUAGCUAGGCAGUAUGGAUCACUAUGUCGCACUUACAAUAACAUUUUGAGCAAAGCAACAGCAAACAAAGAGGCAUAUGCACUACUGCAAAGUAUGUCAAUAGAACUAAUGGAAAAGGUGGACCAGAUUUUACAUGGAAGCAACCAAUCGAAAGAUAUACCAUCAAAUCAUGAACAAGCCGAGAAACAAGCAGAGAAACAGCCAGUUGAAUGCAACAAUGAGAAUGUUGUCCAAGCAAAAGGAAUAAGGAGAAAAGAAAAAGGAAAUAGCAGUAAGAGGAUUAAAUCUGGAUUGGAACUAAACAAAAAGAAUACACACAAUAAAGGUCAAGCAACAACAUGCAAGAAUAGGAAUGGUGAUUGUGCUUCUGCCUCAACUGAAGCAAAUCCUAGCUUCACCAUGUCAAAUCAGUACUCCAACUUGCAAGUACUGCAGAGUGCCAUGCCUCUAGUACCACAUGCUACGAACUACAGUUUGCAAGUAUCAUCGCACGCUAUGCCUCCACUACCACAUGCUGCGAACUACAGUUCGCAAGUAUUGUCGCACGCUAUCCCUCCGAACCCACAAGCUACGAACUACAAUUCGCAAGUAUUUCCGCGCGCUAUGCCUCCGCACCCACAAGCUACAAACUCCAAUUUGCAAGUAUUGCCGCGUGCUAUGCCUCCGCAACCACAGGCAGAAAACUACAAUUUGCAUCUACUUCCUCAGACUAUGACACCAGUGCCACAGCCACAGAAUUAUAAUUUGCAAGUACUGCAUCACGGCCUGCCUCAACUACCGCAGGCAGAUGCUACUUCUUUUCAGCAGUUACUCGGCUUGCAACCACAGCAACCAUAUUUCUAUUAUGGCACUCAACCAAGUCAGGUAUAUUUACUUGGUUAG